rnacentral:rRNA from 1 species
UACGUAGGGUGCGAGCGUUGUCCGGAAUUAUUGGGCGUAAAGGGCUCGUAGGCGGUUUGUCGCGUCAGGAGUGAAAACCCAGGGCUUAACCCUGGGCUGGCUUCCGAUACGGGCAGACUAGAGGUAUGCAGGGGAGAACGGAAUUCCUGGUGUAGCGGUGAAAUGCGCAGAUAUCGGGAGGAACACCGGUGGCGAAGGCGGUUCUCUGGGCCUUACCUGACGCUGAGGAGCGAAAGCGUGGGGAGCGAACAGG